AAUUCAUGGUAUGGGCACUUCCUUAGAAUCAACUUAAAUAUUUCUCAUGAUUCGUAUAGGGAUUCACAUUCAUAUUGCUUAAAGUUAGCGAUUUCUUGCUUAAGCUU
rfam:Gossypium raimondii Chr02_contig_796, whole genome shotgun sequence.